CCUACGGGUGGCAGCAGUGGGGAAUUUUGGACAAUGGGCGAAAGCCUGAUCCAGCAAUGCCGCGUGUGUGAUGAAGGCCUUCGGGUUGUAAAGCACUUUUGGCGGGAACGAAAAGGACUGUGCCAAUACCACGGUUCGAUGACGGUACCCGCAGAAUAAGCACCGGCUAACUACGUGCCAGCAGCCGCGGUAAUACGUAGGGUGCAAGCGUUAAUCGGAAUUACUGGGCGUAAAGAGUGCGCAGGCGGUUUUGCAAGACCGAUGUGAAAUCCCCGGGCUUAACCUGGGAACUGCAUUGGUGACUGCAAGGCUAGAGUGUGUCAGAGGGAGGUGGAAUUCCGCAUGUAGCAGUGAAAUGCGUAGAUAUGCGGAGGAACACCGAUGGCGAAGGCAGCCUCCUGGGAUAACACUGACGCUCAUGCACGAAAGCGUGGGGAGCAAACAGGAUUAGAUACCCCAGUAGUC
rnacentral:rRNA from 1 species